UGGGGUGUAGCUCAACUGGCAGAGCGCCUGGCUGUUAACCAGGAGGUUGAAGGUUCGAGCCCUUCCGCCCCAG
rnacentral:tRNA from 2 species